UAUGAAAGGGUGCAUAUUUCUUAUGUGUGUGAGUCUAUCGGACAUGUUUUAAUAUGGAGUAACAAUUUAUUUUUCUAUUCCAUUGAGUGCUGGAUAUCCUCUUCCAUCUUGGAGUCACUCCUACUUGGACUUCUCUAUACUAUUUGUCCGUACAGCAGCAGCAUGUUCUAUCCCGUGCACCUGGAACAGACAAGCCUGUGCUAACUACUGCAGAGACGGACAUCGCUAUGGCCGGCAAUUUGCUGACUGGCAGCAUUACAUGCUGACCACAGCUGGACCAGGAAGAAGAUGGCAGUAGAGGAGCAGAGAAACCAGGGGAGCGGCAGCAAAUCCAUGUAUGUAGUGAACUACGUUGGAUUAGGUGUACUACGUCAAUGACCAAUGUUUCUUUUCUUUUAAUAAAAUUGUUGAUGAGGACUGUGUUUUUUG